rnacentral:lncRNA from 1 species
UCUGCAAUCAGCUGACCUGCAAAGGCCCAAUAGAGGCAUCAUUAUCAGUAAAAUAUGAUGAAUCUCUGAUCCUGUUCCUGACAGCAGGCUAAGGAUGCAGAUAGGUUUUUAGAAGGUAGGACCAGGUGGAGGGUGAGAGUGGAGAUCAGUGAGGACAGCUCUGGCCUAUGGCUGUAGUUGGCUCCUCAAUCUCUGGGAUCAAACCUGCCUCUAAGGACUAUGUGUGUGAGUGUGUGUUUGUGUGUGUGUGCAGGGCACUCGUGUGUGUGUAUAUGGUAUAAUAAUCCAUACCAACAGAUAUAGCAUGUUUACAUGAUCAAACUUUGAGCUUGUGUGCAUAAAUCUGUCUGUAAAAUACUUUACUGUAGCUUUUGCACCAUUUCUUUCUCCUCCUACUUCAGCUGCUCACCAGCCAACCUUCACUAAUUUGAAAUGAUGGAAACACUCCUACUAUUUCUAUUUUUGUGGGUAAAAGGUUAAGUGUCUCAUAAAGCUGCCUGCUAGAUAAAAGUUUGUCUAUUUACAGAAAAUGAAAAAAUUUUGUGAUCAUAGAGUCAGUGUUUUUUCUGUCUGUAGCUGAUGUGUUUAAAGCCGUGGGGUUUAAGCCUUGGUGAGAAUGGGCAGAUUACACUGAGUGCUGGCGAGCCAGCAGAGGGGAUCAGGUGAUGCAGGUGCAGAUCAAAGGCAGGUGGACAAACAGGAGGGUAAAUGUGCUGAUGCUCUGCUCUACCUGAUUAAAGCCUCUUCAGCAGCACUCCACCAUUCAGCAGCACGCCGCUCUCGGCUGUGUUGAUCUAAGCACCGCUAGGAUUUGGAUGCCUCUUGGUCCUGCUGACUUCUGUAUGUUUGUGUGUGUGUGUGUGUGUGUGUGUGUGUGUGUGUGUGUGUGUGUGUGUGUGUAAUUGUGCGUGCAUGUGUGUGUGUGUGUGUGUGCGUAUUAAGUCACCUUAAACUGGUUCAGAGUUGCACAGUCAAAGAUUUAUUCCUCUGUGGCAACAAAGUGCAGAGACAGUGAUGUUGGUCAGUUCAGUUCAUUCACAUGAAGAAGUCACAAAGAGGUCAGUCCUCACACACUGUAGCGUUUCAACAUCAGGACAACAUCUCUGUCCCUGUUUUUUUUUUUCAUUUGUUCGAGGUCUUGUUGGAUCUUGGAUCAGCAACAGGAUAAGCAAGUGAGCUUAUCUUUGAAGCAGCGACCCUUCAUCUUUGUUACAUCUUUGAAGAAGGCUCCUGGUCUUCCCAGCUGUCUCCUUCUAUGUGUGCAUGCUCAGGAAACCUCCAAACUAGAUUUGUAUAAUCCUUAACUUUCUUGAUAGCGUAUUUGAAUUUCAAGCAUAUUUGAAUUGACAUAAAUAACCAUCUCCAUUUGCAUGCUGGAUCACAUCUACACAAACGCCCAAACACUCUUUCCCUCACAACAAACUCUUUUUUAAAUUCAGAGAUUAAAAUCUGUUUCUGACUUUUCUCUAAAAAUUUAGAUUUUUUUCUCUUAAAAAAAAGAAGGGAAAAAAAAAACAAGCAGAAUUUAACUAUUCUGACAAAAUCUGACAAAUCUAUUUUUUUCUCAUGAUUUGGACUUUUAUUUCAAAAUCCUGAUGUUUGCUCAGAGUUCUGAAUUAGCAAAAAGUUUUGACUUUUUCUCUAAACUGUGACUUUUUUAUUCUGUGUUGUGGGAUUGAGACAAAAUUCCGAUUUAAGUGUCUUAAGUGACUUUUGAGGAUUUUGACUUUUUCAUAAACAUUCUAUUUCCCUGAUUUUUUUCUUGAACAGAAUAUAACUUUUUGCACAGAAAUCUGACUUUUAUCCUCAGAAUUCUGAAUUUUAUCAGAGAGGUAUCUUAUUUCUCAGAAUUUGGAUUUUUCUUCUGAACUCUGAGAUAAAAGUCAGAGUCAUCACUUUUUCUGUAUUAUAAAUGUUUCUCUGUCAGAAGUCUCACUUUUUCCCAGAAUUUUGGGAUUAAAUUCAAAAUCCCCAGUUUGAUCCAGAAUCCUGUAAAAAUAUUGUUCAAAUUUUAAAUUCAUUUAAACAGAAAACAUCAUUAUUUAUGAGCUGGUAAUGAGAUAAAACCAGCAGAGAUUCUAAUAUUCAGGAAGGAUUACAAAUAAAUCCAGUCAGGAUUUAAGGAGAGGGUAGUAGAAGGACUUAGGGGAUGAUAUUUUUGGACCCCUCCUCGUCUCUGCCGGGAAUCAAGGUGGUUUCCUUCCUAGUGAUGACUUAUAAGAGCGUGUCAUCAGCGGUGGCCCCAUGCUGAGGGAUCUCCUCACCUCCACCUGCAGGUCACACCACUAGGUCUGCAGAUAAAGUGAGAAACACUUCAGCAGCUCUUACAGUUCACUGCUGUUAUUUGCAUCAGCUCACUGGGGGAGCAGAUGGAGAACAUCUAUUUACAGUAAAAAGCACUGAAGUCAUACUCGCCCCCCACCGUCUUCCAGUUAAUUAUAUGGUAGCCUUAUCUUGUGGGGAAGGAACACAUGUUUUUCUUUCACUGCCUCUAGUUACAGCAGAGUUUAAGGAGCAGAGAUAAAGAAAAUCAAACGCUGUAUUUCAUCUGCACAUUUGCAUAUAAGACUGUGAUUCUCCAACUGGGAGUCAGGGUUUAAAAUGACUUCAGAGGGGGUGUGAUGAUCAAGGGGAGUGAAAUAAAUGUAGCUGUUAUGACAAUAUGAUGAGGGAACGACUCUAUCUACUGACCCAAAUCUUUAAUUUCAUUUAUAUCCAACUCACUUUCUUCUGAAGUGUUUCCACAAUUUCAUAAACGACGGAGGAAAAUUUAAUCCAGUGUUUUGUUUUUUUUCUUCUUUUUUUUCUGGUGUGGGUGGUGGCACAUUUUUUCAGCUUAUGUAAGAAAGUGUGAGAAAACGUGGAAGGCUGUUUGAGAAUUAUUGUUUCGAUAAUGCAGGGAUGCCCAGAAAAUUACCUGCACAUAUUUCCGAAACUUUUCUUUUGUUUUUCAUGGAAUAACAAUCAGGCAGGGAGGUGGAGAUGAGACCGCAUUUGGCCCUGACUAGCUGUCAACACAGCCACGCCCCCAAAUGUACAAACUUAAAUGAAUAUUUCCUCAAAAAUUUAAGCCAUGGUCAAACACACCUUAACACUGAGUUAAAUCACCCUUUGAGAGAUGAAUGUUGCCAUCUGCUUGCUUCUCUAGUUAGACCAACUUUAGUAAUGACCGCAUGAUAGCAAUACACAGUGGUCUGUGUUUCCACACGCAAACCUCAACCAAAAAGCCACUCUAUAGUCACAAAUAAUGCUCAGAACAGCACCUAACUUCAUCAACAGUACAUAUAGGGUCCCAGCCAUAGCACUAGCCAUCGAACAUCCUUUUAGCUUUGCUGUUGUUGUCGUCAUUUUUUUCUUCCGCUUCAUCCGGGUCCGGGUCGCGGGGCAGCAGCUUCAGGAGGGAAGCCCAGACGGCCCUCACCCCGGCCACUUCCACCAGCUCCUCCGGGGGGAUUCCCAGGCGCUCCCAGGCCAGGCAAGAGACAUAAUGCCUCCACCUGGUCCUGGGCCGGCCACGAGGUCUCCUCCUGGUGGGACAUGUCUGGAACACCUCUAACGGGAGGUGUCCAAAAGGCAUCCUAACCAGAUGCCCGAGACACCUCAGCUGACUCCUCUCGACGGAGAGGAGCAGCAGUUCUACUCUAAGCGCCUCCCGAGUGUCCGAGCUCCUUACCCUAUCUCUAAGGCUGAGCCUGGCCACCCUGCGAAGGAAACCCAUUUCAGCCGCUUGUAUCCUCGAUCUUGUUCUUUCAGUCAUUACCCACAGUUCAUGGCCAUAGGUGAGAGUCCGCACGUAGAUUGACCGGUAAAUCGAGAGGUUCACCUUGCGGCUUAGCUCUUUCUUCACCACGACUGAUCGGUUAAGUGUCUGCAUCACUGCUGACGCCGCUCCGAUCCACCUUUCAAUCUCCUGUUUCAUUCUACCCUCACUCGUGAACAAGAUCCCGAGAUACUUGAACUCCUCCACUUGAGGCAGGACCGCCCCUCCAACCUGGAGAGGGCAAUCUACCUUUUUCUGACUGAGGACCAUGGCCUCGGACUUGGAGGUGCUGAUUCACAUCCCAGCUGCUUCACAUUCGACCGCAAACCGCCCCAGCAAGAGCUGAAGGUCACUGCUUGAUGAAGCUAGAAGCACCACAUUAUCCGCAAAAAGCAGCGACGCGAUCCUCUGCCUGCCGAACCAGACACCCUCCAGCCCCCGGCUGCGCCUAGAAAUUCUGUCCAUAAAGGUUAUGAACAGAACCGGUGACAAAGGGCAGCCCUGGUGGAGUC